rnacentral:rRNA from 1 species
GUGUCAGCAGCCGCGGUAAUACGGGGGGGGCAAGCGUUGUUCGGAAUUACUGGGCGUAAAGGGCUCGUAGGUGGCCAACUAAGUCGGACGUGAAAUCCCUCGGCUUAACCGGGGAACUGCAUCCGAUACUGGAUGGCUUGAGUUCGGGAGAGGGAUGCGGAAUUCCAGGUGUAGCGGUGAAAUGCGUAGAUAUCUGGAGGAACACCGGUGGCGAAGGCGGCAUCCUGGACCGACACUGACGCUGAGGAGCGAAAGCCAGGGGAGCAAACGGGAUUAGAUACCCCUGUAGUCC